rnacentral:rRNA from 1 species
UACGGGGGGGGCAAGCGUUGUUCGGAAUUACUGGGCGUAAAGGGUUUGUAGGUGGCUUGCUAAGUCAGACGUGAAAUCCCUCAGCUUAACUGGGGAACUGCGUCUGAUACUGGCGAGCUUGAGUGCAGGAGAGGAACGCGGAAUUCCAGGUGUAGCGGUGAAAUGCGUAGAUAUCUGGAGGAACACCGGUGGCGAAGGCGGCGUUCUGGACUGUAACUGACGCUGAGGCGCGAAAGCGUGGGGAGCAAACAGG